AGUGACAAUGCCUGUUUAAUAUAAGUGAUCACGAUAUUAGUCAUAUUAUAAUGGCAUUUAUGCUUUAUAAUAAAAAGCUAUGAAAAUGUAUUGUCAUUAGCUACAGCGUCACUUAAAUGAUUAUGUCAUUUUGUUUUAAUUAGGGUUGGUAUAUUUUGCUUUGAUUAAAAUAGUUAUUUUGUUCCCGCUGAUUGUUAAUCGAUUUAAACUAGUCCAAAUGUUUUAUUGGUCAUUUUUUCAUAGCUACAUUGUCAUAGUGAGCGUUAUAAGGAGGUAUAAUCGUUUAUCGUGUGAACUUUAUUAUGGGGUCAAUUUGGUAACACCUCUUCUGCAACAUGCCAAUUUAAUAUACCUAGAGCGCCGUUCAAAAUUUUCGAAGAAUGUGUUUCUUAUUGAUUACCUACACCUUACUUACAUAUAUAACAGCGAGAAGAACGAGCGACUGAUGUUAAAGUGAAGUCAAAUUGAUAUCAAUUUGUAAAUUCGACUCGGGCUAAAUAUCUAAAUAUCUUUAAUCAGUAGAUUAUAUCCGUGUGAUUUGGCUAGUAACUAGACUGGUGGGUCUUUUGCCGAACGCCGAGCACCAUUUGUUGCAUGCGGCAAAUGACCUAGGCUUAUUGCGCUAUUAAGUAGUUACUUAGGAUUUAAAAUUGCCCAGUAAAGUUAUUUUAUAAUCCUAGGCUAUUGCUUUUCAAAGACAAAAGUACUUAAUAAAAUUACCCAGUCCUUUCGAAAGUACUUUAAAACUCCAAAUAUUAAUAAAAUUAACAAAUGCAAGAAUCACGAGAUAAAAUACAAAUAACUUUUACAGAAAAUAUAUUGUAUCUCGAAACUAUCAAACAUUCAGCAUUUUCUCCCCUUUCUGGCAGCACGACGCCGGUUAUUGGCUUUUCCUAUGGGUACAUUAUAAUGUAUGAUAAAAAAAAACAGGUGGGAGUCACACUCGCUAAGUAUUUUAAUUUAUUGUUUAUAUAGUAACUUUUACUUAGUCGGAUUAAGGUAGCUAACUAAUAGUAUAGUAUAGUGAUCGAACGAGCGAGCGAAGCGAAGUGAAGUUCUUACAUUCGACUUGGAACACACGGCUGGCUAGGGGCACGUCCCGGCAUUUCGAUGUUUUUAGGUUGAACUAUCAGAGGAUAGUUUGAUAGACAAUAACUUAAGUAAAUUUGUUCUCAAUUAAAUUAAAAUGGAUAAAUGUGCAGUUAAAGGCAUUACAUUUUAGUCAUAAAAUUAUGAGCAGGCUUGAUCAAGGGGUUAUGGAGCUAGAAGAGCCUAGAAGACCAAAAAGCUAUUUGUGCAGGAUUUUGCUAUUCUGGUCAUCUUAUUUUCAAGAGAGUAUAGUCGAGCUAGGUAUCAAAUAAAAGUGCUCGGUUUACACAUUAAUAAUAUUGAUUUUUAAUUUACGAUUUUAAAAUAAUCACCACGCCUAAAACGAAAUUAAAUAAACAUAAUAUGGAUUUUAGACAAGAAAGAUUACGACUUACCACAGAUACAGUUUAUUUUAAUCUCAAUGAUGUCUUAAUUCACUUAAUCAGUCAGUUAUCGAUCAUCAGUUUUCGAUCCUUUGCCGACUAAGUAGCCAUUCAAUUGAUCUAUCUUUUUGGCAAAUCGCGAGUUCUCAGUUCGGGGCAAACUACUAGUAGUAUAGUAGAGCAGCCGAUUUAACGGAGCCACGCCGUUUUAUAAAAUGUAAAAUUUAAUUUUUAAUUUUAUAAAAGGCCCAUAUUACAAAUGCCUUAUAGACUGUUUUAUAAAACAGUCUAUAAGCUAUUUGUAAUAUGGGCCUUGUUACCUGAAUCAAAGAUUAAAAUAAAUAAAUACGAGUACCUACUUGUCAGUACAUUCAUACUCAAAUGUAUACACAAAUAGGUUAAUCGUACCUAAAUUUUUGCCAGUUUCUUAAUUUAUUCUUAAAGUGGGAAUGUGGCCAGCCUUAUGGGCACCCUUCCGCAGGGGAUAGAUCUAGGGGACCUAAGAUAGGUGGGUAUAAAGUUUCAAUUAUUUAUGUUAAUUUAUUUACUUCAUAUUUAAUUUUAGUUAUAGUUUAUAAGUUUUAUUAUUAUUCCUAUCAAAUAGAACUUUGUUUUCUUAAAGUUACAUAUUAUGAACAUCAAAUUAUAACCCACCUUUUACCACAAAGCCGAAUAUCCACACGGCAAUAGCACGAAGCUUUCUAUUCAUAUCCCAUUAUACGGGAAACUCGCCCCUUAUGCGGUGCGUCGACUGACAUGCAUUGUACUUCUGAUUAAUGGUUUACAAAAGCCAAUCUUUUACUCGAGGAAAAUUGUAAGGCUUCGUGGCUUUAAGUAGAGGAAUGUUUUAAAAAAAUAUUCAGGUGUUUUCACGUUUAUUGUGGAACAUUUUCGAGAGCAUGAUCUUUGUAAACUUCGGGACUUGUUGAAAACACAACGAGACUACCUACAUGCCAAUUCUCACGUACACUGAUAUUUGAAUCAUGUCAGUUAGUUAUCGCGCGUCUCGCUCGCGCCAAUACAAUGUGCGAACAAGUAUGAGCGAAAUGCACGAUAACUAAAGGUGACAGUCCAUUUCCAACUGCAGCUGCACUACCGUUGCGACAUUACUGGUGCGACAUUACUGCAGCGGCCGACUGCUGCUGUUUGCGGCGUGCAGUCGCGGCAGCGUUCGUCAGUUGAUUGCCAAAGUCAAAGAAUAAUGUCACUGUCAGACGUAUAAAUAAAAUUACUAAUUUACUUAUUUGUAUUUUUUACGAGAAGAAGUAAGUGACGAUAAUGCUACAUGGUACACGAAAACGAAAAACAGUUUGCCUUUCUACAAAAGUCACAUUCAGUCGAAGGCAGCUACGCAAUAUUAUUAAAAAACCAGAUAUUGUUGGUGAUCGUUUGUUUGCCGAUUAAAUGAAUAACAAUUUAACUUCAAAUUGAAGAAAUACAACCAAAUUACUCAAAUUAAAUGAAUGCAGAGGAGAAAUAUUUCUUCACUUAAGGUGUCCAUGGGUGACGGCACUCGUGGUCGUGGCAGAUACAGUGUAUGACUAGACCAUAUAAAACUUGAUGGGCGAGACAAGAAAUCCUUUAUGAAGAAAGCUAUUUACGUUAGCCAAGGGGCUGAUAGAAAGAAUAUUUAAUAAAUUAAUUGGAAUAAUAAAUAUUUUCCUCGUGAUGGUGUGAUAAAAUAAAUUCGUGUUGCGCUCUGUAGCAAAGUUUGUAUAACCCUCAUGCCUUGAAGUCCCCGCAACUGUCAAUACAAUUUUAUUUUAAAACCGCUGUCGCUUCUCUUGUGGUUCAAUUUUGUAAUUUUUCUUACGUUUGAGUAUCCAUAUGCUACCAUGAGGUGUUAAACAACAACUUUGCCUUUUGUAUUUCUAGGUAAUACAACUGAAUUAUUGCUUCUUUUAUCUCAAAAAUGGCUUUGAAAUGACAAAGUGAGAAAGUGUCACGAUAUUAUACACCGUGGGCUGGUAAAACCUGAUAGUUUUAAAGUUGUAUUCUUAAUCG